rnacentral:lncRNA from 1 species
AAAAACAUGAUAUAUUAUUAACAUUGUGCGAGUCAUUUUCUAGUUCAUAAUUAUAUAGGGCAUUCAAAAUUUUUAUAUUUUUGUAUUAAAAUAUUUAGAAUAACUUUUUUGCAAGACACUUGAUGAGACACCAAGUUCCUUUAUAUGGUGGGAAUCUUUGUCGCCAAAAAAAAAAAAGAAAUGUCACAAGAAAGAACAUUGCCCUAAUGCCCUUCACAGUUCACAAUUACUAAUAGGCGAGUAUAUAUCAUUUAUGUAUUAUUAAAAAGGAUUUUAAAAUUUUAAAAAAUUCAAAAUACAAUCCUACAUUACUGUUAUCUAUUGAUAAGCUUUGCAAAUUUGAUAGAGUUUCAGAAAUUUAUAGGACCAUAUCAUGUUUCAAUUUAAAAAAAAAAAACUAAAAGCAAAAAUAAAAAGAAAAACAUAUAUCAGAC